rnacentral:tRNA from 1 species
GGGGAUUUAGCUCAGAAGCUUAAGCACCUGCCUUGCAAGCAGGCGGUCGUGAGUCUGAUCCCCA